rnacentral:rRNA from 1 species
GACAGAGGGUGCAAACGUUGCUCGGAAUUACUGGGCGUAAAGCGCGUGUAGGUGGAUUGGUGUGUCAGAUGUGAAAUCCCUGGGCUCAACCCAGGAACUGCACCUGAAGCUACCAGUCUUGAGUGGUGGAGAGGGAAGUGGAAUUCCUGGUGUAGAGGUGAAAUUCGUAGAUAUCAGGAGGAACACCAGUGGCGAAGGCGGCUUCCUGGACACCAACUGACGCUGAGACGCGAAAGCGUGGGGAGCAAACAGG